rnacentral:lncRNA from 1 species
AUUAGCUAAAAAAGAUGAACAAAUCGAAUAUACUGUCUGAUUACACAAUAUAGAUUAGAAUUAUUAAGAAUAAAACCAAAUGCAUAUUUGUCACAUAGUACUGAAUACGUCACAAAAUUACAAUGAAUAACAGGAUUUAAUUUCCAGUAUCAAACAUGCCAUAACGUAAACUUGAAGUUUGAAGGGGAACUCUUGUUGUAUAUCAGCACAAGGACACAUACUAAGACACUGUUGCUAGGAAUUCUGGGCAGCAGUUGAAUAGUAUCCAGGCUUCAUGUUCAAUUUCUUUUCCAGUGUUUUAUCUGUUUCCUUGCAUGAUGAAAGCUGAGCAAGAAAAAUGCUUCCCUGCAACAUUUUAAUUAUUUGACCAUUUAACUUCCUUUACUUCACAAUACAUAGUUAAAUUCCCUAAUGCUCCAUCCCAAAACAAAAUUUGCAAUUUGUAUAUAGAACUUAUCCAAAAAAUUUCAACCUCCAGUCCAGAAGUAGGGAAGAGGCGGGGUAGGGGGAGUUCGAGAUCGAGAUCGAUAUUCCAAAUUUAUGUAUAACUCAAUAAGUG